UGUCCCAGCCGCCGCGGUAAUACGUAGGGUGCAAGCGUUAUCCGGAAUUAUUGGGCGUAAAGGGCUCGUAGGCGGUUCGUCGCGUCCGGUGUGAAAGCCCAUCGCUUAACGGUGGAUCCGCGCCGGGUACGGGCGGGCUUGAGUGCGGUAGGGGAGACUGGAAUUCCCGGUGUAACGGUGGAAUGUGUAGAUAUCGGGAAGAACACCAAUGGCGAAGGCAGGUCUCUGGGCCGUUACUGACGCUGAGGAGCGAAAGCGUGGGGAGCGAACAGGAUUAGAUACCCUGGUAGUCCACGCCGUAAACGGUGGAUGCUGGAUGUGGGGCCCGUUCCACGGGUUCCGUGUCGGAGCUAACGCGUUAAGCAUCCCGCCUGGGGAGUACGGCCGCAAGGCUAAAACUCAAAGAAAUUGACGGGGGCCCGCACAAGCGGCGGAGCAUGCGGAUUAAUUCGAUGCAACGCGAAGAACCUUACCUGGGCUUGACAUGUUCCCGACGAUCCCAGAGAUGGGGUUUCCCUUCGGGGCGGGUUCACAGGUGGUGCAUGGUCGUCGUCAGCUCGUGUCGUGAGAUGUUGGGUUAAGUCCCGCAACGAGCGCAACCCUCGCCCCGUGUUGCCAGCGGAUUGUGCCGGGAACUCACGGGGGACCGCCGGGGUUAACUCGGAGGAAGGUGGGGAUGACGUCAGAUCAUCAUGCCCCUUACGUCCAGGGCUUCACGCAUGCUACAAUGGCCGGUACAACGGGAUGCGACGCGGCGACGCGGAGCGGAUCCCUGAAAACCGGUCUCAGUUCGGAUCGCAGUCUGCAACUCGACUGCGUGAAGGCGGAGUCGCUAGUAAUCGCGAAUCAGCAACGUCGCGGUGAAUGCGUUCCCGGGCCUUGUACACACCGCCCGUCAAGUCAUGAAAGUGGGCAGCACCCGAAGCCGGUGGCCUAACCCCCUGUGGGAUGGAGCCGUCUAAGGUGAGGCUCGUGAUUGGGACUAAGUCGUAACAAGGUAACCAAUCGA
rnacentral:rRNA from 1 species